UCAGAGCUGGGGUCUGAUAUGUUUUUAGUUUUCUGCUGAGUUACAGCAACAUUCCGUACACUAAUGGUGUGUUUCUAAGGGGGAAAAGCAGGAAAAUCUGCUCCUUUAACUUAUAUUCCUUACUUUCCAUGUUAACUGCAGGAACAAAUGUCUAUGUGAUCAUGGCAUAGGCACCCCAAUGUCUAAAAUCUCUGAAGUUCAGAUAUUAGGAGGAAGUUUUUCCCCCAGAGGGUGGUGACGCACUGAACAGGUUGCCCAAGGAGGCUGUGGAUGCCCCAUCCCUGCAGGCAUUCAAGGCCAGGCUGGAUGUGGCUCUGGGCAGCCUGGGCUGCUGGUUGGCGAC
ensembl:lncRNA